rnacentral:rRNA from 1 species
ACAUGGGAAUCGGUAUGGAACUUAGUCUGCCCAGCAAAGAUAAAAAUAUUUAUGUGGCGGGCGCUCCAGAGUGCUAUUCCCUGUCCAUCUAUCCUGGCUAAUAAGCACUUUGAAAUAAAUCCGAGUUGCCCAGCCUGUAACCAGGGGCCUGAUGACAUAAGACAUAUGUUGUUCGAAUGCAAAUUGGCAAUGGAUGUGCGGAAGAUGCUCGGUCUUGAGCUUGUUAUCAAACAGGCACUGAAAGUUGACAAGGCAGAUGAGCUUGUGUUGGCACAUCUUCUAUGCCUUCCAGAACAAUAAACCCAAGUGUUGGGCUUGCCGACGCUCAGAGAAACGAUGGCAACGACGGCUUGGUAUUUGUGGUAUGAAAGGCCAAAAUUGACACAUGACGAAGAAACUCAAAGUGCGUGUCAAAUCAAUAGGUCAGUGAGAGGCUUAGUAGCAAAUUAUACCAUCUCUUAUAGCCCAAAGGCUCACGCCCGUUCAGAUGCUUGGCUGAAACCAAAGUAUAAUUACGUGAAAUUAAACGUUGAUGCGGGAUUUGAUAUUGACACACUCGCAGCAACAUUUGGAGCAGUUAUCCGGAACCAUAGGGGGGGGGGGGAUUUAUAG